rnacentral:rRNA from 1 species
AUAAUUUGUCUUCUAAUUUAAGUCUUGUAUGAAAGGGAUGACGUGAAGCACCCUGUCUCAAAAAUUAAAAAAAAUUAGAUUUAGAUUAAAAUCCCUAAAUGUAAUAAAAAGACGAUAAGACCCUACAAAAUUUUACUCAGUAUCUAGUAUAAUAGGUACACAAGUUUAUGAGUUUGACUGGGACGGUAAAAAUAAAUAAUCUGUUUUAUUUAAAACAUUAUGCCUGAAAAUAAAGACCCCUUAAGCCUAAAAAUCA